rnacentral:rRNA from 1 species
AUAGCGUAUACUAAAGUUGUUGCAGUUAAAAAGCUCGUAGUUGAAUUUCUGGUCUUGGAUUUCGGUCUGCCUCAAACGAGGUAUGUACCAGGGAUCUGAGACCAUCCUCGAGGAAAACAUAUCUGUCAUUAAGUUAAUGGGUAUGGGAUCCUCGUCAUUUACUGUGAGCAAAAUAGGGUGUUCAAAGCAGGCUUAUGCCGUUGAAUACAUUAGCAUGGAAUAAUAAGAUAGGACCUUGGUCUAUUUUGUUGGUUUGUACUCCAAGGUAAUGAUUAAUAGGGAUAGUUGGGGGUAUUUGUAUUCAAUUGUCAGAGGUGAAAUUCUUGGAUUUAUGGAAGACAAACUACUG